UACGGGGGGUGCGAGCGUUGUCCGGAAUCACUGGGCGUAAAGGGCGCGUAGGCGGAUCGUUAAGUACCUUGUGAAAUCCCACGGCUCAACCGUGGAACGGCUGGGUAUACUGGCGGUCUUGGGCCAUUCAGGGGCGACUGGAACAAGCGGUGGAGCGGUGAAAUGCGUAGAUAUCGCUUGGAACGCCGAAGGUGAAAACAGGUCGCUGGGGAUGUGCCGACGCUGAGACACGAAAGCCAGGGGAGCAAACGGG
rnacentral:rRNA from 1 species